AACGAACGCUGGCGGCAUGUCUAACACAUGCAAGUCGAACGAGGCCUUCGGGUCUAGUGGCGCACGGGUGCGUAACGCGUGGGAAACUGCCCUUAGGUUCGGAAUAACUCCCCGAAAGGGGUGCUAAUACCGGAUAAUGUCUUCGGACCAAAGAUUUAUCGCCUUUGGAUGGGCCCGCGUUGGAUUAGCUAGUUGGUAGGGUAAAAGCCUACCAAGGCGACGAUCCAUAGCUGGUCUGAGAGGAUGAUCAGCCACACUGGGACUGAGACACGGCCCAGACUCCUACGGGAGGCAGCAGUGGGGAAUAUUGGACAAUGGGCGAAAGCCUGAUCCAGCAAUGCCGCGUGAGUGAUGAAGGCCUUAGGGUUGUAAAGCUCUUUUACCCGGGAUGAUAAUGACAGUACCGGGAGAAUAAGCUCCGGCUAACUCCGUG
rnacentral:rRNA from 1 species